rnacentral:lncRNA from 1 species
AGAGGUACUGAGGGCGACUCCCUGUUCUGCACGUGUUUGACCAGCAGGUGGCGACAGCAGAGCCAUCUGCUCUCAGACCAGGCCUCUCGCCUGACCGCUGAGCGAGGAGAGAUCUGCGCUCGAUCUCGCACUCCAGUGUAGAACCAGGAGACUGUCGGCCUUGUUAGUGACCCCACACCCCCCGACUGCAGGCCGGCCCCCCUCCUCUCCCCCUUUUCACACCUGCAUCAGGGGUGAACCAGUGGGCACGGCUGGUAAACACCAGUGUUGAGGGAACGCUCUGGACUGCAAGUCAAAUGUGGCGGCAAACGUCGAUUCAAUUUUCAAACUGGGGCAACAGCGCUCAUUCUCUGUCUCACUCUCUCGGGUGUCUCUCUGCCCUGCGACGCCUGUCGACCCAGAUCCAAAGAGGAGGACGGGGAAGAGGACCAUCCUGAGGCUGAAGAUCGCCGGGAGCAGAGAGCAGAUUCAGAACGCCGCCGAGACGAAACACAGACUCCUGGAGCAGAUGCAGGACCUGCUGGCCCAGCGGGGUCUCCUGGGGAACCACACUCUGCGCUGGAGAGAGCAGCCGGACGGACGAGUUUUCUACCCAGCAGAAGAGGGUGGAGGUGAGUCUGAGACCCGCUGCCUGAGACACGACCCUCCCGCCCGAGACAGGAUACACUGUUGGGUGUGAUUGAGAGGAACAGGAACAGGAACACAUUGAGAGUGUGUCUAUGGUGUCCAGCUCUGGCAGUCCAGUCUGUGCGUGUGUGUCUAUGG